rnacentral:snoRNA from 1 species
UGCCCCACUUUGAGGAAAUCUCAUCCUGAAGAAUUACUCUGUCCUUGGCUGAAAGGAUGACAGGUUUUGCUUCCAUCACUGUGGCUUAAUUUCAUUGGUGACAACGAGACCUGUAACACUU